rnacentral:snoRNA from 1 species
CGAUGAGAGCAGUCAACUGAGUCUCAGUUACUCGCAGCUCAGCAGCAGCGGCUGCGAUGAGGCAGAUG